rnacentral:ncRNA from 1 species
UACGGCUCAGGUAUUGAAGGAAAGGUCCUGACGCGCAUGAAUGGAUUAACGAGAUUCCCGCUGUCCCUAACUACUAUCUAGCGAAACCACAGUCAAGCAAACGUGCUUGGCAAAAAUAGCGGGGAAAGAAGACCCUGUUGAGCUUGACUCUAGUUUGACAUUGUGAAGAGUCAUGAGAGGUGUAGCAUAGGUGGGAGACCUCGGUCGACAAUGAAAUACCACCACUUUCAUUGAUUCUUUACUUAUUCGGUGAGAAGAGGAUUGAGCUUCGGCUUCUUUUCUUGUUCUU